ensembl:misc_RNA
AGUCAUGAGAGAGAGACACUAAAAUGUCCUAUUUAUCUACAGAACAGGUACAACAUGGGCAGCAGCAGUACCAACUUCCCAUGUUGCUUUGUCAAUGUACCUUGAUUUUCACCUGAGAGGACUUUGAGAAGUUAGUUUAUCCUCAGUGUCUAAUCUUUGGCUUCUGUGGUUAAA